rnacentral:tRNA from 1 species
CAGGCCGAGCAGGUGCGGCCGCUCUGAGCCCGGCUCCGAGGGUCGCGUGACGGAGGACCUCGACGCCGUCGUCGUCGGUUCGGGCCCCAACGGCCUGGC